GACGAACGCUGGCGGCGUGCUUAACACAUGCAAGUCGAACGAAGUGGCGAACGGGUGAGUAACGCGUAAUAAACCUGCCCUUCAGAGGGGGACAACAGUGGGAAACGACUGCUAAUACCGCAUACUGAAGGAGGGGAUGGCGUCGUAUUAGCUAGUUGGAUGGGUAACGGCCCACCAAGGCGAUGAUCAGUAGCCGGUCUGAGAGGAGGAACGGCCCAAUUGGGACCUGGACCCGGCCCAGACUCCUACGGGAGGCAGCAGUUGGGAAUCUUCCGCAAUGGACGAAAGGCUGACGGAGCAACGCCGCGGUAGUGAUGACGGCCUUCGGGUUGUAAAGCUCUGUUAAUCGGGACGCGGUACCGGAAUAGAAAGCCACGGCUAACUACGUGCCAGCAGCCGCGGUAAUAC
rnacentral:rRNA from 1 species